GUCACAGACCUGGUUCUGCCUCUCACCUUGAGUGCUGAUUUACCUCUCCACUGCAAAUCUUGCAGCUGGCUUUAGCAUAGUGCUCAAAAGGACUGUUCUCCCAAAGCACGUAUUUGGCUUGAGUGGAAGAGGGGUGCAUGCUUCAGGGUGUGCUGGGACUUCUGUGAGCAGUGCCAGUGCCAGAUAGAAGCACUUCAUGUACCAGGACUCCAGACACUGCAGUGUGACAGCUAAACCAAGGAGCAUCGGAUGCG
rnacentral:lncRNA from 12 species